UACAUGGGGGUGCAAACGUUGCUCGGAAUUAUUGGGCGUAAAGCGCACGUAGGCGGUUUGUUAAGUCGGAUGUGAAAUCCCUCGGCUCAACCGAGGAAGUGCGUUCGAAACUGCAGAGCUUGAGUGCCGGAGAGGGUGGCGGAAUUCCCCAAGUAGAGGUGAAAUUCGUAGAUAUGGGGGAGGAACACCGGUGGCGAAGGCGGCCACCUGGACGGUCACUGACGCUGAGACGCGAAAGCGUGGGUAGCAAACAGGG
rnacentral:rRNA from 1 species